AGAGUUUGAUCCUGGCUCAGAAUGAACGUUGGCGGCGUGGAUUAGGCAUGCAAGUCGAGCGGCAGCAGGCCCAGCAAUGGGCGCUGGCGAGCGGCGAAAGGGAGAGUAACGCGUGGGUACGUACCCCUGGGAUCAGGAUAGCGGCGGGAAACUGCCGGUAAUACUGAAUAACAUCUCAGGAUCAAAGGUGUGAUUCCGCCUGGGGAUCGGCCCGCGUCCUAUCAGCUUGUUGGCGAGGUAAUGGCUCACCAAGGCUAUGACGGGUACUGGGUGUGAGAGCACGACCCAGCUCACUGGGACUGAGAUACUGCCCAGACACCUACGGGUGGCUGCAGUCGAGAAUCUUCGGCAAUGGGCGAAAGCCUGACCGAGCGACGCCGCGUGCGGGAUGAAGGCCUUCGGGUUGUAAACCGCUGUCGUAGUGGAGGAAGUAUCAGGGGGUUCUCCCCUUGGUUUGACUGAUACUAGGAGGAAGGGUGGGCUAAGCUCGUGCCAGCAGCCGCGGUAAGACGAGCCACCCAAACGUUAUUCGGAAUUACUGGGCUUAAAGCGUGCGUAGGCGGCCUACAAAGUUGGGUGUGAAAUCCCUUGGCUUAACCAAGGAAUUGCGCCCAAAACUAGUGGGCUCGAGGGAGAUAGAGGUAAGCGGAACGGAUGGUGGAGCGGUGAAAUGUGUUGAUAUCAUCCGGAACACCGGUGGCGAAGGCGGCUUACUGGGUCUUUUCUGACGCUGAGGCACGAAAGCUAGGGUAGCGAACGGGAUUAGAUACCCCGGUAGUCCUAGCCGUAAACGAUGAGCACUAGGUCGAGGAACUUCCACAGUUUCCCGGCCGUAGCGAAAGUGUUAAGUGCUCCGCCUGGGGAGUAUGGUCGCAAGGCUGAAACUCAAAGGAAUUGACGG
rnacentral:rRNA from 1 species